CUCAAGCUUAAAAAGAUUUCUGUGUCACUGGAUCUGGCAAGAGCAUACGUGAAUGUUUAGCUCAAUAGGGCAAGAUUAAGCAGUAGUCCCAAUAGCUGAUGUAAGUUUAGAAGGAGGAAGACAACAUUCAAACUCUUUGCCCUCCUGUUUCUUCCAAUUAAAAGCAAAGAGUAUAUCCUGAAGUAUUAUUGAUAACUAAACAGCUUUUUCCUGAUAAAUCAAACCACCUGGGAGAAUCUUGAAGGACAGAAGAAAAUUUCUCCUCCCCAACAGCUGGGAUAGCCAGCAGGAUAACUUUCCCCUGUAUUUUCUCUGACCAUUCUGCAGCUUUGAGAUCCUGGGAAUCUGACACACAGCUGGCAGAGAACACGACUGGAAACAUUGGCUAUAUUACCAAGGCUUUGACUGGAAUGUCAUAUUUAUGUGACCAGACUGCUAUAAGAAAUAAGGCUGACACUAUAAAUCCAUAAAUCACCUAGGAAACAUAGCCUGACACCUUGCUAACAGGCUCCUAGCAGCCUUACCAGAAACAGUGGACAAACCAUGGUCCCGGAGAAGCCACCAUUCACUGGGUCAUUCAGCAAAUCUCUACUGAGUGCUGGAUGCUCUCAGAACCUGAGAACAUGGAGGGAACUACUACGCCGCUAAUAAAAUCGGCUGUUUGUUAACAAACA